GCCCGGGUGGUGAAAUCGGUAGACACAAGGGAUUUAAAAUCCCUCGGCUGUAAGGCUGUGCGGGUUCAAGUCCCGCCCCGGGCACCA
rnacentral:tRNA from 36 species